UGUUGAGGAAGCAGCUGAAGAAGCCCGAGUGGCAGGUUGAGCGCGAGGGUAUCAGCCGCCUUAUUCAGAACUACGAGAAGGUAUGGAUCCGAAUAUUCCCAUAUUACAGAUGAGAAAAUUGAGGCUCCAAGAGGAUACGAAAACUUAUCCCAAGUUCUCACACUUAGCAGAUAAAUGUAAAUGAAAUCACCAGAUUUUCAGAUUUCCCCUUGUCCAAAAAAACAUUGAAAGGU